rnacentral:lncRNA from 1 species
CCUUCCUUCCUUCCUUCCUUCUUUCUUUUCUUAUUGAGACAGGGUCUUGCUCUGUCACCCAGGCUGAAGUGCAGUGGUGCGAUCUGGGCUCACUGUAAUCUCUGCCUUCCAGGUUCAAGCAAUUCUUCUGCCUCAGCCUCCCGAGUAGCUGGGACUACUGGUGCACGCCACCAUGCCUGGCAAAUUGUUGUAUUUUUAGUAGAGACAGGGCUUCGCCAUAUUGGCCAGGCUGGUCUCGAACUCCUGACCUUGUGAUCCGCCCACCUCUGCCUCCCAAAGUGCUGGGAUUACAGUCAUGAGUCACCACACCCGGUGAUCUGUUCAUUCUUAAUGGAAAAAUGCUUGGUACUUUAUAAGCCAAAUGGUGACACAAUUGGCCCUAUUUUAGUCCAACAGGGAAAAAGGCAAAAAUUAUACAUUUCAGCAGACCUGGUACAUUUGAUAGCUUAAACUGACAUAAAAAUUGUCUUCUAAAACUAAGAUAAAACAAAAUGGGGAUAGUAUGAAAGCACUCGGGGAAUCACGGCUUGCUAAAGCCAGAGCACAAGGCGGAGAUCACCUGCACCAACCCAUCCUACAUGGAAAGGACAGCUGAGUCCCGAGAGGGCCGUAAGGUCACAACUUCCUAGGAAGCUGGGGCUGGAGCCAGGCCCCCUGCCUGCCCUCUCUAUCGCUGUGCCCCGCUCUGUGCAUGUUUUAUGGCCGGGCUUGGCGGCUUAUGCUGUAGCAGGAUGAGCCGCAGACAAAAGUCCUCAAACUCUGAGUUGAAGGAAGGGGUUUAUUCGGCCGGGGGCAUUGGCAAGACUCCUGCCUCAAGAGCCGAGCUCCCCGAGUGAGCAAUUCCUGUCCCUUUUAAGGGCUCACAACUCUAAGGGGGUGCACAUGAGAGGGGCAUGAUUGAUUGAGCAAGUGGGGGGUACGUGUCUGGGGGCUGCAGGCACCGGUAAUUACAUCGGAACAAAACAGGAUAGGGAUUUUCACAGUGCUUUUCUAUCCAAUGUCUGUAAUCUAUAGACAACAUAACCAAUUAGGUCAGGGGUCGAUCUUUAACUACCAGGCCCAGGGUGUGGCGCCAGGCUGCCUGCUUGUGGAUUUCAUUUCUGUCUUUUGGUUUUUACUUUUUCUUUCUUUGGAGGCAGAAAUUGGGCAUAAGACAAUAUGAGGGGUGGUCUCCUCCCUUAUUCCCCCCCUUUGAGAAUCUCACUCAAUAGUGGGAGUUCUCACUUUCAUUUUUACUUCCCAUGUCUUCUUGCAAGACAGAUCGAUAGUGAUUCACAUAGUACACUUGUGCUGAAGCACUUUGGUGAACUAAGGUAGCGAUGAAGCUUUUUAUCAUUUGAAGAAGUACAGGUAGCAAACAAGGGAGCAGUAAGCAGGUUCCUAUUACUAUUAUAACUCUUAUUAUAAGAGUUUUAAAUCCUCUUAGUGCUGGGAACCAUUUUCCAAACAUGGCCCCAGGAUCAAAUCUAUGCCACACUUGUAUGGGCACAUGUGCCAGUUUUGUCAUAUCUCUAACUAUGUCUUCAACUACUUACCCUUGAUUAUCUAUGUGUAGGCAGCAAUUAGUAAGGUUAAAUUUCCUGCAGACCUCUGCCAGGCCAGAAUAGUCAAGGCUCUGCUGGUUUUACUAGUGAUUAUUUUUAAGACAGCUUGUAACUGUAUGAUUCGGUUGAUCAUGUAAAUGGGGGUCCAGUAUCCUCACGAGCUGUCUUGUGCCUAAGUAGCAGGCCUAUAAUAUUGUAUGAUUCUCUCAGGGGGCCAUUUAUGCUUCUCUUUUCGUGGGAAGCAUAGACAGGGAAGCCCAGGAGUUCACCUG